GACGAACGCUGGCGGCGUGCUUAACACAUGCAAGUCGAACGGAAAGGCCCUGCUUUUGUGGGGUGCUCGAGUGGCGAAAGGGUGAGUAACACGUGAGUAACCUGCCCUUGACUUUGGGAUAACUUCAGGAAACUGGGGCUAAUACCGGAUAGGAGCUCCUGCUGCAUGGUGGGGGUUGGAAAGUUUCGGCGGUUGGGGAUGGACUCGCGGCUUAUCAGCGUGUUGGUGGGGUAGUGGCUUACCAAGGCUUUGACGGGUAGCCGGCCGGAGAGGGUGACCGGGCGCAGGGGGACUGAGCUGCGUCCCAGAAGGGGACGGGGGGCAGAGAGGGGGAGUAUAGACCGAGGGGGGGAGGCAUGAGGAAGCCACGCCGGUGGGGGAAUGACGGCCUUCGGGGUUGACACGGCUGGCGGUGGGGAGGAGGGGGGAGGGAGGGUAUGGGGAAAAGAAGCACCGGCUAACUACGUGACAGCAGCCGAGGUAAUGAUCGGAAGACCACAUGUUGAAC
rnacentral:rRNA from 1 species